CUCUAGUGACCGCCUGAGUGACUGUCACUAGCAGUGUCACUUUGAAGCAAUGUAAACACUGCCUUUUGUCUGAAAAGUCAGUGUUUACGUUGAAAAGCCUGUAGGGACAUGCUAUGGACACCAGUACCACCACAUUAAGCUGUGUGUGUGCGUCUGCUAGUGAGUGAGCUUGCUUGCAUGCGUGUGCCUGCUAGUGAGUGAGCUUGUGUUUUUAUGUCAAUGAGCUGAUGUAUAUCAGUAAGAUUGUUUGUCUAUGAGGCUGUGUAUCAAUGAGCUUGUGUGUGUCACUGAAAUGUCAGUGAAAUUGCCUGUGUCUGCAUGUGCG
rnacentral:lncRNA from 1 species